rnacentral:rRNA from 1 species
CGUACAAUCCUACUUGGAUAACUGUGGUAAUUCUAGAGCUAAUACAUGCGACAAAGCUCCGACCCCCGUGGGAAAGAGCGCGUUUAUUAGAUCAAAACCAAUCGGGUCCUCGCGGCCCGUACUGUUGAUGACUCUGGAUAACUUCGAGCUGAUCGCACGGCCUCGCGCCGGCGACGUAUCUUUCAAGUGUGUGCCCUAUCAACUUUCGACGGUACGUGAUAUGCCUACCAUGGUAUUUACGGGUAACGGGGAAUCAGGGUUCGAUUCCGGAGAGGGRGCAUGAGAAACGGCUACCACAUCCAAGGAAGGCAGCAGGCGCGCAAAUUACCCAAUCCCGAAACGGGGAGGUAGUGACGAAAAAUAACGAUACGGGACUCUUUCGAGGCCCCGUAAUCGGAAUGAGUACACUUUAAAUCCUUUAACGAGGAUCAAUUGGAGGGCAAGUCUGGUGCCAGCAGCCGCGGUAAUUCCAGCUCCAAUAGCGUAUAUUAAAGUUGUUGCAGUUAAAAAGCUCGUAGUUGGAUCUCGGGUCGUGCCGAGUGGUUCGCUUCGCGGCGACACCGCGCGGUGCGGCCUACUAGCCGGUCUUCGCUUGGUGCUCUUCGCUGAGUGCCUUGCGCGGCCGGAAUGUUUACUUUGAAAAAAUUAGAGUGCUCAAAGCAGGCGCCUCGCCUGAAUAAUAGUGCAUGGAAUAAUGGAAUAGGACCUCGGUUCUAUUUUGUUGGUUUUCGGAACUCGAGGUAAUGAUUAAGAGGGACAGACGGGGGCAUUCGUAUUACGGUGUCAGAGGUGAAAUUCUUGGAUCGCCGUAAGACGAACUACUGCCAAAGCAUUUGCCAAGUUUGUUUUCAUUAAUMAAAAACGAAAGUGAGAGGUUCGAAGACGAUCAGAUACCGUCGUAGUUCUGACACUAAACGAUGUCGACUGGCGAUCCGCGGGCUUCUAUUCUMUGACCCCGAGGGCAGCCUUAGGCAAASCAAAGKCUAUGGGUUSCRGGGRAAGUAUGRAWGCAAARMUKAAAMUGAAUGGAAKUGACGGMAGSACCCCAMCUGGAGCGKAGGCUKUGGUUUAACUCAACUCGGGAARRCAMACCCGGCCCGGACACGGUAAGGAWUGGCAGGUURRGAGGUCUUUCUUUUUUCGGUUGGGGGGGGGGCRGGGCCGGUCCKUGUUGGUGGAGCGAUUYGUCUUGUUAAUUCCGAUAACGAACGAGACUCUAGCCUGCUAAAUAGUUCGCCGAUGGCACUCUGCCGGCGCCAACUUCUUAGAGGGACAAGUGGCUUUCAGUCACACGAGAUUGAGCAAUAACAGGUCUGUGAUGCCCUUAGAUGUUCGGGGCCGCACGCGCGCUACACUGAAGGAGUCAGCGUGUCUGCUUCCUGAUCCGAAAGGACCGGGCAACCCGAUGAACGUCCUUCGUGCUAGGGAUUGGGGCUUGUAAUUCUUCCCCAUGAACGAGGAAUUCCCAGUAAGCGCGAGUCAUAAGCUCGCGUUGAUUACGUCCCUGCCCUUUGUACACACCGCCCGUCGCUACURCCGAUUGGAUGGUUUAGUGAGAUCCUCGGCUUGGACCCGGCGCGGAGGGCGAC